UCCCUUCAGAUUCCUUAUCCCUCAAACCUAAAUAGUGGUGUGAGUGGCUAAAAAAGAAGAAGGAAAGUAAUACUGAAAUGGACUUGUAAUUUUUAGUGACAAAGAAAUUCAUCUCAAAUACAC
rnacentral:snoRNA from 1 species